rnacentral:rRNA from 1 species
GACAGAGGGGGCAAGCGUUGCUCGGAAUUACUGGGCGUAAAGGGCGCGUAGGCGGGAUGGCAAGUCGGUCGUGAAAUCCCUCGGCUCAACCGAGGAACGUCGAUCGAUACUGCUGUUCUUGAGGAUUGCAGAGGAGACUGGAAUUCCCGGUGUAGCGGUGAAAUGUGUAGAGAUCGGGAGGAACACCGGUGGCGAAGGCGGGUCUCUGGGCAAUUCCUGACGCUGAGGCGCGAAAGCGUGUGGAGCAAACGGG